rnacentral:rRNA from 1 species
GAUGAACGCUAGCUACAGGCUUAACACAUGCAAGUCGAGGGGCAGCAUGGUCUUAGCUUGCUAAGGCCGAUGGCGACCGGCGCACGGGUGAGUAACACGUAUCCAACCUGCCGUCUACUCUUGGACAGCCUUCUGAAAGGAAGAUUAAUACAAGAUGGCAUCAUGAGUCCGCAUGUUCACAUGAUUAAAGGUAUUCCGGUAGACGAUGGGGAUGCGUUCCAUUAGAUAGUAGGCGGGGUAACGGCCCACCUAGUCUUCGAUGGAUAGGGGUUCUGAGAGGAAGGUCCCCCACAUUGGAACUGAGACACGGUCCAAACUCCUACGGGAGCAGCAGUGAGGAAUAUUGGUCAAUGGGCGAGAGCCUGAACCAGCCAAGUAGCGUGAAGGAUGACUGCCCUAUGGGUUGUAAACUUCUUUUANAAAGGAUAAGUCGGGUAUGCAUACCCGUUUG